rnacentral:rRNA from 1 species
UUUUUAAUUGAAAUCUUGUAUGAAUGGUUAGACAAAAGAACAACUCUCUUUAUAUUAAUAUUGAAUUUAACUUUUAAGUGAAAAGGCUUAAAUUAGCUAAAGGGACGAUAAGACCCUAUAAAACUUUACAUUAUAAUUAUAUUUUAGUAAAUUUAUAAAUAAAGAUUUAAUUUAAUUAUUUGUUAUAUUGGGGAGAUAUAAGUAAAAUAUUAUUUUAACUGCUUAUUUAUUAAAAACAAUUAUUGGUGAUAAUUGUAAAAGAUCCUUUUUAAAGAUUAAUAGGUUAAGUUACUUUAGGGAUAACAGCGUAAUUUCUUUUAAGAGUUCUUAUCGAAAAAGAAGGUUGCGACCUCGAUGUUGAAUUAAAAGUUCUAUAUAAUGAAGAGAUUAUAUAAGAAGGUCUGUUCGACCUUUAAAAUUUUAC